rnacentral:piRNA from 1 species
UGACAGGCGUUCAGUGCUACCGCUCCCCA